rnacentral:rRNA from 1 species
UACGAAGGGGGGCUAGCGUUGCUCGGAAUCACUGGGCGUAAAGGGUGCGUAGGCGGUCCUUCAAGUCAGGCGUGAAAAGCCCCGGGCUCAACCUGGGAACCGCGCUUGAGACUGGCGGGCUAGAGUUCGGGAGAGGAUGGUGGAAUUCCCAGUGUAGAGGUGAAAUUCGUAGAUAUUGGGAAGAACACCGAUGGCGAAGGCAGCCAUCUGGACCCGACACUGACGCUGAGGCGCGAAAGCGUGGGGGAGCAAACAGG